rnacentral:lncRNA from 1 species
GGAGAUUUUAUUUUAAUACAAAUGCUAUACUCUAUAGUUAUAAGUAACUCCUCCAAUUAUAUAUGCAUUCUAUAAAGAGUGCUAUUUAGCAAUGAUAGGAGUGAUAUGAAUGUUAAAGCUAUUAUUGUGUCUUUGAAAAUCCACAUUUAGGGAAAUAAUUACCUUGUACAUGGGAGUGGUAAAAGAGAACAAUGAAAGAUUAGCUCAUGGGCAUAUAAAGACUUAUUUACAAAAGAGAAUAUCUGGACCCAGUAACUCCACUUCUGAAAUUUUCAACUGAGGAAACAAUCCAACAGAAAGAGAUUGCUUUCUUCAUAAAUAUUUUCUUGCAGCCUUGUUGUCAAUAAUAAAAGUUUGAGAGGAAUCUUUUUGUUCAACAGAGGAGCUCGAUUAGGGAAAAAUGAGGGCAACGUAAUUGAGCCUUAACCUCUGGAAAAUUCUGAAAGGUAAGGAAGAGUGAAACACACAUAGUAAAAUAUGGCAUCUCUUCUCUCAUUGGAGCUAUUUAAAAUCCAUAUGUGAUUCUGUACAAGGACUGGGAGAAAAAGUAGAAAACUUGAAAACAGUAAAUUUGUUAUAGUGGUGGAGUUUAACUAUAUAUAUAUGUACUUGAAUAUAUAUAUAUAAUAUAUAAUAUAUAUACUCUUCCUUUAUCCCUUUGUAAAACUAAAAGAAAAAGAAAAGGCUUGAGAUGAGGAGGAAUAAAUGGACUAAGAUUAGGAGUGCCAGGAGGCCAGAACUUGAAGACCAAAAGACAAAACUACAUGCUCAAGGCUGAAGAUGAUAAAAGGAGGCCUCCACCCCAACUGGUCUCAGCACAGGGGGCCCUCAGUUCAGACCCCCAUUAUCCUGACAUCAUUUAGAAGACAAACAAAUGCAGCCAAAGAACAAUGAGCUGUAAGGAUUCGACAGAAGGUAAGAUCAGAACUUCUUCAAGGAAGCCACAAUGGAUUAUGGAAAAGAUCACUAAAAGUCCUUGUUAGCUGAAGUAGCGAUGUCAAAAUCAUGUGUUUUGUGAUUCUCAGCAAAUUAGGGUGAUUCCAAGUCAGAUGGAACCAGGACAGUCCCCAAAGUUUGCCUUCCG